GAUGAACGCUGGCGGCGUGCCUAAUACAUGCAAGUCGAGCGAACAGACGAGGAGCUUGCUCCUCUGACGUUAGCGGCGGACGGGUGAGUAACACGUGGAUAACCUACCUAUAAGACUGGGAUAACUUCGGGAAACCGGAGCUAAUACCGGAUAAUAUAUUGAACCGCAUGGUUCAAUAGUGAAAGACGGUUUUGCUGUCACUUAUAGAUGGAUCCGCGCCGCAUUAGCUAGUUGGUAAGGUAACGGCUUACCAAGGCAACGAUGCGUAGCCGACCUGAGAGGGUGAUCGGCCACACUGGAACUGAGACGCGGUCCAGACUCCUACGGGAGGCAGCAGUAGGGAAUCUUCCGCAAUGGGCGAAAGCCUGACGGAGCAGCGCCGCGUGGGUGAUGAAGGUCUUCGGAUCGUAAAACUCUGUUAUUAGGGAAGAACAAAUGUGUAAGUAACUAUGCACGUCUUGACGGUACCUGAACAGAAAGCCACGGCUAACUACGUG
rnacentral:rRNA from 1 species